UUGGAUCUUGUAUGAAUGGUUGGACAAAAAAAAAUCUGUCUUUAUAUUGUUUAUUGAAUUUAACUUUUAAGUGAAAAGGCUUAAAUAAAUUAAAGGGACGAUAAGACCCUAUAAAGCUUAAUAUUAAUAUUUUACUUAGUUAAAUUUUCUUGUUUAUAAAAACUUAGUAAUUGAAUUUAUUUUAUUGGGGCGAUAAAGGUAAAAUGACUAC
rnacentral:rRNA from 1 species